CCUACGGGCGGCAGCAGUGGGGAAUAUUGGACAAUGGGCGAAAGCCUGAUCCAGCCAUGCCGCGUGUGUGAAGAAGGCCUUCGGGUUGUAAAGCACUUUCAGUGGGGAAGAAAGCCUUGGGGCUAAUACCCUCGAGGAAGGACAUCACCCACAGAAGAAGCACCGGCUAACUCCGUGCCAGCAGCCGCGGUAAUACGGAGGGUGCGAGCGUUAAUCGGAAUUACUGGGCGUAAAGCGCGCGUAGGCGGUCUGAUAAGCCGGUUGUGAAAGCCCCGGGCUCAACCUGGGAACGGCAUCCGGAACUGUCAGGCUAGAGUGCAGGAGAGGAAGGUAGAAUUCCCGGUGUAGCGGUGAAAUGCGUAGAGAUCGGGAGGAAUACCAGUGGCGAAGGCGGCCUUCUGGACUGACACUGACGCUGAGGUGCGAAAGCGUGGGUAGCAAACAGGAUUAGAUACCCGGGUCGUC
rnacentral:rRNA from 1 species